GGUGGCUUAGGAUAGCAGCUCUCUUCGAGUCAGCCCAUGGAUGCUGUUUCAGCUCAGUGGAGGACUUCAGAAGCAAGCUGAAAUGGAAUUGGUGUACCAGUAGGGGGAUGGGAAGAAAGGACACUAGUGAAAGAAAUGUGGACGGGUGUGUCUUCAGGUAUAUUAACAGGUCCAGAGCAUGGAGUCCUCAGCAGAAAAUGCACAGAUGCCAUUGCAAAAGCCAGGAGGCGCAGAAAUGAACGUGAUCCACCAGUAUGCACUAAAACUACCGCUAAAAAUAACUGCAGAAACUUGAAGUCUGGGAAAUAGCACUGGACAGUCUCACCUGAAGUGAAGAGCUGAUUGGUGCCAAGUGGAAAGGAGACAGGAAGAAAAUGGGCUCCUCUGGAACCAUGCAGUCUCUAGGAGGUGGGCCCCAAGGUCUGCUCAGAGUCUUGGAGCUUUUGUUUGCUCGUAGCCAUCCAUCCCCUGAUACCAUCCAAACACAAAGGAUGUCUCCUGUCACUAUCACCCUUCAAUUAUCUGCCAGUGCCGUCAAAGAGGCCGGAAGGAGCAGGAGGAAUUGGGAAAGGAACAGGUGGGGAAAGUGUAAGUCAUCGGACUGUUCACUGUUGCUGUGUGACCUUGUGGGAGUUACUAAACCUCUCUGAACCUCGAGUUUUCUCAUUUGUUAAUAUGGAAAGAAGACCGUCAAGCCUGUCAAGCCUAUCUCUGUCACAGAAUCUUUUUUUUUUUUUGAAAUGGAGUCUCUGUCAACCAGGCUGAAGUGCAAUGGUGCAAUCUCGGCUCACUGCAACCUCCACCUCCCAGAUUCAAACGAUUCUCCCACCUCAGCCUCCCAAGUAGCUGGAAUUACAGGCAUGUGCCACCAUGCCAGGCUAAUUUUUGUAUUUUUAAUAGAGGCAGGGUGCCAUAUUCGUCAGGCUGGUCUCGAACUCCUGACCUCAGGUGAUCCAUCUGCCUCGGCCUCCCAAAGUUCUGGGAUUACAGGUGUGAGCCACCACACCUGGCCUGCCUCACAGAAUCUUGAACCUAGUUUUUAAAAUUCUGUUUCUUUCCUCCUUCCCUUCCAGUGUCCACCAUAUCCUAGCCAGUGUGCCAGAUACUAGGAAACCAAUACUGAAAAAAGAGUCAGAUGCUAUUUUUGCUGAACUUAGCCUUAGUAUUGUAUAGUGAUUGUGCUUCCUACUAGGCAGGGACCAUGCCUAAUUUGUGGAUAUUACUAAUAUCAUACAGGGCCCAUACGCAGUAAAUGUUCAAUAUCUGUCAUUUUCUGAAACCUAAGAUGUGUCAGGCGGCUUGACCUGUAUUGUUUCUAGUUCUUUCAACAAUCCCGAACAGUCGAUAUUAUUGUUCCCAAUAUGAGCUAUGGAGCCAGUUUGCCAAAUCGGCCCCUGACUAACUGUGAGACUUUGGACAAGUUGUUCAACCUUCCUGUGUUUCAACCUUCUUAUCUGAAGACACACAGUUAUAGUAUAGCAUUGUGAAGUUAAAUGAACUAUACUGUGGCUCAUGAUAACAAUCAGUAAGUGUUAGUCAUUAUAAUGAUCAUUAAUUGUGGCUUUUAGCAUAGAUGAAGACUGGCAGCGUACCCAGAUCAUACAGCUGGUAAAGGGCUAAGUAAAAAUUUGAAGCCAAAUUGG